CCCUGAUUGGGCUGGACAGCAGGCACAGGACAGGCCCAGGCUUCUGAGGGACACCAACAGGUGACAGGGCCGCUCCAAGCAAGGGGGGAGGCCUGGGGGAGCUAGAAAAAGACGGGGUGCAAUGCCUUUCUGAGCACAGUUGGCACACCGGGCUGAAGGGAGGACUGUGGGUCGGCAGCAGAGGAGAGACAGGACAAAGGGAGGAACAGAGGCGUAGCUGCGUAUUUUACCAGAUUAAAAUGCUGAACAGAGGCCGGGAUGACGUCGGUACGCACGACUGCAAAACAUUCAAGCCCUGCUUUCACUCUAUCUCUCCCUGUCUGGCUUGAAAGCAGCACGCCUUGCUGUGGCUGGUCAAACGGAACCAAGUCAGGUGUUUCAGCGAGGUUUGGUCCCCUUCAACCAGCUACUGCGUCGUGAAUUCAGCACCGGCAACGCAAAAGGGCAGAAACAGAAGGGCUCAUAAAUGAUUGCAUAAGAUCCUGCAGUUAACACGUAUAGAACCUUCAUGUAAUUUCUUUGCUGUACUGCUUUGUAUUUUUAAUGCUGUUGAUAAUUCACUCCUUUUAAUAAAAGAAUCUUAAAACAUAACUG
rnacentral:lncRNA from 1 species